AUGGAUCACACCGUUCACACGCGGGGCGGGGGGAAACCAACCACGGCCGAGAACGCUGGGCGGCUGUCGUCGUCGUCGUGCCGCUGCACGGCGCGGCGCGGCACCACGCGAGGCCGAGCGGGCGCGCAUGUGCCUCCGGCUCGCCAUCACCUCGCUCCAUCUCUGAUUUCUUUCCAUGUGCGCGUGUUUCGCCGGAUCGCGUUCGUGGAUUGAUUCAUUAAUUUUGUCGCCGAGAGCAUCGCCGUGUUUUUCGCCCCCCGCAAAUUCGUCUCCCGCGCAUCAUCAUCUGGAUGGAUUCUGCAGGGAGCGAACGAAAGCGAUAGUGCCGGAUUCUCCUGCUUCGUCCACAAUCUUGGAGGACAGCGACACCCUCGUCCUUCCAUUCUUUGUUUUAAGCAAGCAAUAUCUUAACUGCGGUUUAGCACGAGGCCCCAUCCGCCGUGCUUGCUUACUUUCGGUUGCGUCGGUGAUGUCGGCCAGCUGGACGAACAAACAACCGCUUUUUUCAGACUUUAUUUGCUUUAUUAUUUAUUUUACCCGGCCUCGUGGUGAGAGAAUCCAGGUCGAUCACUGCGUGUAUACCUACUCGUCACAGCAGGGCGAAGUUGGUGGCUGUUCGUUCACCAACCUGUCGUCUCCGGCCGUUCCGUCCCUGUCGCUUGUUGCCACGGUCUCAUUCUCGUGCUGCAUGGCCUUGGCUCUCAUGCUCGCUCGCAUGCGUUUGGCGUUCGCGUUUUGGCACUGUUGCUUGACGUGCCGACGAGCAACCAAACCAUGCUGAGGGUGAGGUGUUAAGCAUCACAGAUUCCUAUCCUAUCCUACCUGCACAAAACUAGUACUAGUACUCCUAGAAUUCAGGUGGGUAAUGGAUUCAGGGGAAACGGAACUUUUGUGGAACAAAUUCUUUGGCGGUUAGAUUCGCAUUCCGUUCCGUUUCC